rnacentral:rRNA from 1 species
GACGAACGCUGGCAGCGUGCUUAACACAUGCAAGUCGAACGGACAGGCCCUGCUCUUGCGGGGUGCUCGAGUGGCGAACGGGUGAGUAACACGCGAGUAUCCCGCACCUGACUUUGGGAUAACUUCUGGAAAAUCGGGCUAAUAUCGGAUAGGAGCUCCUGCUGCACGGUGGGGGUUGGAAAGUUUCGGCGGUUGGGGAUGGAUUGGCGGCUUAUCCGCUUGUUGGUGGGGUAGUGGCUUACAAAGGCUUUGACGGGUAGCCGGCCUGAGAGGGUGACCGGGCACAUGAGGACUAAGGGACGGCCCAGACGCCUACGUGAGGCAGCGGUGGGGAAUAUGGCACAAUGGGCGGAAGCCAGAUGCAGCAGCGCCGGGUGCGGAAUAACGGCCUUCUGGUGAUAAACCGCUGUCGCCGGUGCCGUAGCGUUAUUGACGGUAAUGGGUAAGAAAGCACCGGCUAACUACGUG